AUCUUUGGUGCUGCAGCUGCAUGUCAUGAAUUGAAUGAAAGCAGGCACUUGAGCAACUAUGUGUGCACCCAAUAAAAAGCACAAUGUAGGAGCAUUAGUAUGCUAAUGAGGUGCGGGGCGACAGGUGGCCCGCUAGACAGCUCAAUUAAGCAGCUCGUUAAAGGCCAAGCUAACGAAGCGGCCUGCACUGCAAGCCUCAACAAACAAUGUGACUGUGCAGGCUACAAAUUGGUUUCCUGAACACUCUCCCUGACUGCCAUUGGUUUGAAAACAUAUAGCCCUGACCCAGUGUUCCUGUAUCAGGCUGAUCAGUAUGCAGAACAAUGUUUUGAUAGCACCUCAAGGCCAAGGUGGAUCAACCAUAUGCCCAUGGACAUGCACACUCAAUGACAAAGGCGGAUACCAACAGGUCCUCUCUGACACAAAGCGGCGUGGGGCUGAGGGAGGCGAAGGGUGCAUCUUAACCUGAGACGUCCACACACACACACACACCGUAAAUAUUCUCACACACACCCCACUGCAUGCCACCAACACAGCAAUAUGGAGAUGCAACAUUGAUACAAACCCAGCCUGGGGAGUUUGUGAAGAUGAUGCUUUGUUGUGUUGUUUUUGAAAGGUCUUGGUUUGUGCGGGUGAUGUUAUUGUGUAUGUAAAAUGUAUGGAGGAAGAGGGAGGGACAGUAGGGAAGACAAGCACUUUUUUGGAGGGGGCCAAUCUGUUGCAGCUCUGGAUGAAGUCUUGUGAUGGAGAGACAGUGUGUUAAGCGACAUAUGUGACACAGAAGGACAAAAGGAUUAUGGUCCUCUUCUCGUUAUCCGUGCCUUUGGACAGUGGGAUUAUCAUCCGGGGAGUGAAGAUCUCGGGCCGCUAAGCUUCAGUGCGGCCCGGUUCCUCAUCUCUUGUGUGGGGUGGGAAAGCAGGGGUGAAGGGGCAUCCCUGGAGAGCGGGCCGCUAUCAGGAUUUACAUAUCCAUCAGCGAUCAGAGCUAUGUUCUCUUUCUUUCACUUUUCUCUCUUCUUUUUCCUCUGUCUUGCAUACACAUGCUCGAACAUGCUGAGCUGUUUCAUUUGACUCUUUCUGAGUUAGA